rnacentral:rRNA from 1 species
GUGCCAGCAGCCGCGGUAAUACGGAGGAUGCAAGCGUUAUCCGGAUUUAUUGGGUUUAAAGGGUGCGUAGGCGGAUGUGUAAGUCAGCGGUGAAAGGUCCCGGCUCAACCGGGGAGCUGCCAUUGAUACUGCAUAUCUGGAAUGCGGAUGCCGUGGGAGGAAUGAGUAGUGUAGCGGUGAAAUGCAUAGAUAUUACUCAGAACACCGAUUGCGAAGGCAUCUCACGAAUCCGUUAUUGACGCUGAGGCACGAAAGCGUGGGGAUCAAACAGGAUUAGAUACCCUGGUAGUCCACGCAGUAAACGAUGAUAACUAACCGCUGGCGAUACACAGUCAGUGGCCAAGCGAAAGCGAUAAGUUAUCCACCUGGGGAGUACGACCGCAAGGUUGAAACUCAAAGGAAUUGACGGGGGCCCGCACAAGCGGAGGAACAUGUGGUUUAAUUCGAUGAUACGCGAGGAACCUUACCCGGGCUCGAACGGCAGGGGAAUUAUCCAGAGAUGGAUAAGUCUUCGGACUCCUGUCGAGGUGCUGCAUGGUUGUCGUCAGCUCGUGCCGUGAGGUGUCGGCUUAAGUGCCAUAACGAGCGCAACCCUUGUCGUCAGUUACCAUCAGGUUAUGCUGGGGACUCUGGCGAGACUGCCACCGCAAGGUGUGAGGAAGGGGGGGAUGACGUCAAAUCAGCACGGCCCUUACGUCCGGGGCGACACACGUGUUACAAUGGUGGGUACAGAGGGGUGCUACCUGGUGACAGGAUGCUGAUCUCGAAAACCCAUCUCAGUUCGGAUUGGAGUCUGCAACUCGACUCCAUGAAGCUGGAUUCGCUAGUAAUCGCGCAUCAGCCAUGGCGCGGUGAAUACGUUCCCGGGCCUUGUACACACCGCCCGU